UACAGAGGGUGCGAGCGUUAAUCGGAAUUACUGGGCGUAAAGCGCGCGUAGGCGGCUUUGCAAGUCGGGUGUGAAAUCCCCAGGCUUAACCUGGGAACUGCAUUCGAGACUGCAUUGCUAGAGUAUGGGAGAGGGAAGUGGAAUUUCCGGUGUAGCGGUGAAAUGCGUAGAGUAUCGGAAGGAACAUCAGUGGCGAAAGCGACUUCCUGGACCAAUACUGACGCUCGUGGGCGAAAGCUAGGGGAGCGAACGGG
rnacentral:rRNA from 1 species